rnacentral:rRNA from 1 species
UACGGGGGGAGCAAGCGUUGUUCGGAUUUACUGGGCGUAAAGGGCGCGUAGGCGGCCAGCACAAGUCAGUUGUGAAAUCUCCGAGCUUAACUCGGAACGGUCAACUGAUACUGUGCGGCUAGAGUGCGGAAGGGGCAACUGGAAUUCUUGGUGUAGCGGUGAAAUGCGUAGAUAUUAGGAAGAACACCAGUGGCGAAGGCGGCUCACUGGUCCGGUACUGACGCUGAGGUGCGAAAGCGUGGGGAGCAAACAGG